GAUGAACGCUGGCGGCGUGCCUAAUACAUGGAAGUCGAGCGAACAGACGAGGAGCUUGCUCCUCUGACGCUAGCGGCGGACGGGUGAGUAACACGUGGAUAACCUACCUAUAAGACUGGGAUAACUUCGGGAAACCGGAGCUAAUACCGGAUAAUAUAUUGAACCGCAUGGUUCAAUAGUGAAAGACGGUUUUGCUGUCACUUAUAGAUGGAUCCGCGCCGCAUUAGCUAGUUGGUAAGGUAACGGCUUACCAAGGCAACGAUGCGUAGCCGACCUGAGAGGGUGAUCGGCCACACUGGAACUGAGACACGGUCCAGACUCCUACGGGAGGCAGCAGUAGGGAAUCUUCCGCGAUGGGCGAAAGCCUGACGGAGCAACGCCGCGUGAGUGAUGAAGGUCUUCGGAUCGUAAAACUCUGUUAUUAGGGAAGAACAAAUGUGUAAGUAACUAUGCACGUCUUGACGGUACCUAAUCAGAAAGCCACGGCUAACUACGUGCCAGCAGCCGCAGUAA
rnacentral:rRNA from 1 species